rnacentral:tRNA from 1 species
GUCGGGGUCGCCUAGCCUGGUAGGGCGUCAGCCUGCUAAGCUGAUGGGCUUACGCCCACGUGGGUUCAAAUCCCACCCCCGACG